rnacentral:rRNA from 1 species
AACAGGUUAGAUACCCUGGUAGUCCACGCCCUAAACGAUGAAUACUCGACGUUGGCGAUAUACGGUCAGCGUCUAAGCGAAAGCGUUGAGUAUUCCACCUGGGGAGUACGCCCGCAAGGGUGAAACUCAAAGGAAUUGACGGGGGCCCGCACAAGCGGAGGAGCAUGUGGUUUAAUUCGAUGAUACGCGAGGAACCUUACCCGGGCUUGAAAGUUAGUGAAUUGAGCAGAGACGCUCAAGUCCUUCGGGACACGAAACUAGGUGCUGCAUGGCUGUCGUCAGCUCGUGCCGUGGGGUGUUGGGUUAAGUCCCGCAACGAGCGCAACCCCUAUGUUUAGUUGCCAGCACGUCAAGGUGGGGACUCUAAACAGACUGCCUAUGCAAAUAGAGAGGAAGGAGGGGACGACGUCAAGUCAUCAUGGCCCUUACGUCCGGGGCUACACAUGUGCUACAAUGGGCAGUACAGAGGGCAGCUACCUGGCAACAGGAUGCCAAUCUCCAAAAGCUGUUCACAGUUCGGAUCGGGGUCUGCAACUCGACCCCGUGAAGUUGGAUUCGCUAGUAAUCGCGUAUCAGCAAUGACGCGGUGAAUACGUUCCCGGGCCUUGUACACACCGCCCGUCAAGCCAUGGAAGCUGGAAGUGCCUGAAGUGCGUAACCGCAAGGAGCGUCCUAGGGUAAAGUCGGUAACUGGGGCUAAGUCGUAACAAGGUAACC